UGGCAAUGAUGUCUGAAUUUCUUCACCUGAAUCGUCCGUGUCGAGCAAAACAUACGAGCUUUUUAACCCUGAGCUUA